GCACUGAUGGUCCAGUGGAAGGAACUCCGACUUCCAAUCCUACGGUUGCGGGUUCAAAUCCCGGUCGUGCA
rnacentral:tRNA from 1 species